rnacentral:lncRNA from 1 species
AGGUAGACACUUAGGAAUGGAAUUGCUGGGUCAUAUGGUAAUUCUAUGUUUAACAUUUUGAGGAACUGCCAAACUGUUUCCAAAAUGGCUGCAACAUUUUAUAUUACCAUCAGCAAGAAGGGCCCAUGUGGCAAGGAACUAAGGGCGGUCUCUGGCCAAAAGCCCACAAGUAACUGAAUUCUGCCAAUAACCAUGUGAGUUUGGAAGUGGAUCCUUCCCCAUUUGAGUCUCAGAUGAGUCCCCAGCCCUGGCCAACAUCUUCAUGUGCUGUGAGAGACCAUUAAGCAGAGGACCCAGCUAAGCUCUGCCCAGAUGCUCAAUCCACAGAAACAGAUACUAAGUGUUUGUUGUUUUAAGCUGCUACAUUUGCAGUGGUUUGAUAUGCAGCAAUAGAUAACUGAUACUGCUGUUAAUUGCUUUCUAUUACAAUCAACUGGAAUAACUGCCUUUGUGCAUACAAUCAGGGAUGUAUUUUGGGAUCAAUUUCCAAACCUGAGAUUGUUCAGUCUAAGGGUAAGGAUAUUUAAUGUCGAAAAAUAACACUAAAUUGUCCUCCAAAAAUAUUAUCAAGUGACAGUCAUGCAAACAGUACGAAAGUUCCUGCUUCUCUCCAUGUUCUUGCCAAAUGAAGUAUCAUUGAUCAUUGAAAAAAUAUCAGUUUGAGAAAAAUCAAUACUGCAUUGCUUUGAUUGCAUUUUCCUGAUCACUUAUCAGGGUGAGCAUCUCCUUAACGAAUCCCUUGGCCAUUUAUUUUCCUCUUUAUUCUGAGACUUCUCUCUUGAUAUUUUUAGCUUUUAUCCUAUUUUAAUUGGAUUUCAAUUGGAUUGAACAACUAGAAUGAUGGAAUGAUAUCUGGGGAGCACACAAUGGCCAUUGGUGAUGCUGCUGUUGAUUACCCAAAGUGCUAUCCCAUUUCUUCCCGUGUAUUUACUACUAUUUCUCUUGCAAUUAAUAAGCAAUUUAUGGGAAGAUUCUUUGAGACCAUUCAAAUAUCCUGCACCUCAUUAAAAUAUCCCUCUGGAUUUAGCAGCCUUUGAUGAUUCUUGCCUGAAAAAAACUUUAUUAUGGUAGAUGUAAAAUGAUGAUUUUCAUGUCUAGUACUUCCUUCCACAUUUACCAGCUACAUUCAGCCUUCUUUGUGGAUAAGACUCUCCAUUUUCUCCCAGUUGUUUAUUGUUUUUAUUAGUAUGGACUCACGAUUUCCUGUUCUUCUCAAUGACCUAUAAUUUAUUACUAUCUUUAAUUAUAUUGGUGCUCACAUUUUCCCAGUUUGGCCAGUGGGAUCCCCUCCAAGUUGGCUAUUGUUUCCUUGUGACAUACCCACUUUUUCUUUCUUUCUCUUUCCUUUUGAAACUCACUUCUUUACUUCCUGGCACAACAAUGUCCUUAUACCCCCCUGCUCGAGCCCUGGAAUCAGCCAUUUCUCUGAAAAACCCUGGUUCUUUCAAGUGGACAAAUGUAUUAGAGACCAAAAUUUGGGCACAAGAUGUGCACUUUAACAAGGACCCACUUUAAGUGCAGCUUAGUGAAUUUGAAUGAAUGCAUGAACUUCUGUAACUACUACCACAAUCAAGAUACAGAGUUUCUGUCACCUCUCAAAGCCUCCUUUUCUUGCUUGCUCAU